rnacentral:rRNA from 1 species
AGUGAGUUAGUCUCGCACGAGCGCAAACCUUAUCCUUAGUUACCAGCACGUAAUGGUGGGCACUCUAAGGAGACUGCCUUCGUUAAGAGGGAGGAAGGUGAGGAUGACGUCAAGUCGUUAUGGCCCUUACGCCCAGGGCUACACACGUGCUACAAUGGCCGGUACAAUUGGUUGCAAUACCGCGAGGUGGAGCUAAUCCCAAAAGCCGGUCUCAGUUCGGAUUGGAGGCUGCAAUUCGCCUCCAUGAAGCUGGAAUCGCUAGUAAUGGCAGAUCAGCCAUGCUGCCGUGAAUACGUUCCCGGGUCUUGUACACACCGCCCGUCAAGCCACCCGAGUUGAGUGCACCCGAAGUCGCUGUCUCAACCCGUAAGGGAGAAAGGCGCCGAAGGUGUGUUUGGUAAGGGGGACUAAGUCGUAACAAGGUAGCCGUAUCGGAAGGUGCGGCUGGAUCACCUCCUUUCU